AGGAAGUCAGGCCAGGGAAUCCCUGCCACCGGAUGUUGGAUGACGGUGCUGUCUGCGUUCCAACCCCAGGAGGACUGGGU
rfam:Tembusu virus genomic RNA, complete genome, strain: TMTV-YY1Du